GGGGCUGACUUGGAUUUGACAGCGUGUAGAGGUGGUGGGCAAGCAUGCAGAGCGAUGAUGGCAAUGCUCUCGAAUCUCAGUCAUCGACUAAAUUUAACUGGCGAAAAUACUUACGCUCUUGCUGCCUGAUCGAAGCACAGUAGAUCAGCUUAAUCGCUGCCCAAGGCGGUAGCGACAAGACAUCACCCGACAGCCCUAUCCGCGAGGCUCGUUGAACCGGUGGUGCUCGCAAAUCGGGGAUAGAUGAAGGCCUGUCUCGAGCCUUAAUCGAAGUUUAGAGGCUAAGCCGUUGGUUGGUAGUCCCGAGCCUGCCCGCGGUCGAAAAACAAGUCAGGACUAAGCAUGUAGAAAACCCAUUAGUUCCGCGUUUGGACGAGGGUUCAAACCCCUCCAGCUCCACAA
rnacentral:tmRNA from 1 species